rnacentral:rRNA from 1 species
UACGGAGGGAGCUAGCGUUGUUCGGAAAUACUGGGCGUAAAGCGCACGUAGGCGGCUUAGCAAGUCAGGGGUGAAAUCCCGGAGCUCAACUCCGGAACUGCCUUUGAAACUGCUUCGCUUGAAUCCUGGAGAGGCGAGUGGAAUUCCGAGUGUAGAGGUGAAAUUCGUAGAUAUUCGGAAGAACACCAGUGGCGAAGGCGACUCGCUGGACAGGUAUUGACGCUGAGGUGCGAAAGCGUGGGGAGCAAACAGG